rnacentral:rRNA from 1 species
GACGAACGCUGGCGGCGUGCUUAACACAUGCAAGUCGAACGGAAAGGCCCUGCUUUUGUGGGGUGCUCGAGUGGCGAACGGGUGAGUAACACGUGAGUAACCUGCCCUUGACUUUGGGAUAACUUCAGGAAACUGGGGCUAAUACCGGAUAGGAGCUCCUGCUGCAUGGUGGGGGUUGGAAAGUUUCGGCGGUUGGGGAUGGACUCGCGGCUUAUCAGCUUGUUGGUGGGGUAGUGGCUUACCAAGGCUUUGACGGGUAGCCGGCCUGAGAGGGUGACCGGCCACAUUGGGACUGAGGUACGGCCCAGACUCCUACGGGAGGCAGCAGUGGGGAAUAUUGCACAAUGGGCGGAAGCCUGAUGCAGCAACGCCGCGUGCGGGAUGACGGCCUUCGGGUUGUAAACCGCUUUCGCCUGUGACGAAGCGUGAGUGACGGUAAUGGGUAAAGAAGCACCGGCUAACUACGUGCCAGCAGCCGCGGUGAUACGUGGGGUGCGAGCGUUGUCCGGAUUUAUUGGGCGUAAAGGGCUCGUAGGUGGUUGAUCGCGUCGGAAGUGUAAUCUUGGGGCUUAACCCUGAGCGUGCUUUCGAUACGGGUUGACUUGAGGAAGGUAGGGGAGAAUGGAAUUCCUGGUGGAGCGGUGGAAUGCGCAGAUAUCAGGAGGAACACCAGUGGCGAAGGCGGUUCUCUGGGCCUUUCCUGACGCUGAGGAGCGAAAGCGUGGGGAGCGAACAGGCUUAGAUACCCUGGUAGUCCACGCUGUAAACGGUGGGUACUAGGUGUGGGGUCCAUUCCACGGGUUCCGUGCCGUAGCUAACGCUUUAAGUACCCCGCCUGGGGAGUACGGCCGCAAGGCUAAAACUCAAAGGAAUUGACGGGGCCCCGCACAAGCGGCGGAGCAUGCGGAUUAAUUCGAUGCAACGCGUAGAACCUUACCUGGGUUUGACAUGGAUCGGGAGUGCUCAGAGAUGGGUGUGCCUCUUUUGGGGUCGGUUCACAGGUGGUGCAUGGCUGUCGUCAGCUCGUGUCGUGAGAUGUUGGGUUAAGUCCCGCAACGAGCGCAACCCUUGUUCACUGUUGCCAGCACGUUAUGGUGGGGACUCAGUGGAGACCGCCGGGGUCAACUCGGAGGAAGGUGGGGAUGACGUCAAGUCAUCAUGCCCCUUAUGUCCAGGGCUUCACGCAUGCUACAAUGGCUGGUACAGAGAGUGGCGAGCCUGUGAGGGUGAGCGAAUCUCGGAAAGCCGGUCUCAGUUCGGAUUGGGGUCUGCAACUCGACCUCAUGAAGUCGGAGUCGCUAGUAAUCGCAGAUCAGCAACGCUGCGGUGAAUACGUUCCCGAGGCU